GGGAGCUGGAGAAUGAGCUGGAGGCCGAGCAGAAGCGCAACGCAGAGUCGGUGAAGGGCAUGAGGAAGAGCGAGCGGCGCAUCAAGGAGCUCACCUACCAGACGGAGGAGGACAGGAAAAACCUGCUGCGGCUGCAGGACCUGGUAGACAAGCUGCAGCUAAAGGUCAAGGCCUACAAGCGCCAGGCCGAGGAGGCGGAGGAGCAAGCCAACACCAACCUGUCCAAGUUCCGCAAGGUGCAGCACGAGCUGGAUGAGGCAGAGGAGCGGGCGGACAUCGCCGAGUCCCAGGUCAACAAGCUGCGGGCCAAGAGCCGUGACAUUGGCACGAAGAGAUGCGGUUUCACCAUGUUGGCCAGGCUGGUCUUGAACUCCUGACCUUGUGAUCCACUCGCCUCAGCCUCCCAAAGGCUUGAAUGAGGAGUAGCUUUGCCACAUCUUGAUCUGCUCAGCCCUGGAGGUGCCAGCAAAGCCCCAUGCUGGAGCCUGUGUAACAGCUCCUUGGGAGGAAGCAGAAUAAAGCAAUUUUCCUUGAAGCCG
rnacentral:lncRNA from 1 species